rnacentral:rRNA from 1 species
AAGUGGUCACACCUGUUCCCAUCCCGAACACAGAAGUUAAGCACUUUAGCGGCAAAAAUAGCUAGGCUUGCCCUAGUGAACUAAGCGCAUCGCCGGGU